AGAGUUUGAUCCUGGCUCAGGACGAACGCUGGCGGCACGCUUAACACAUGCAAGUCGAACGAGAGAAGAGAAGUUUGCUUUUCUGAUCUAGUGGCGGACGGGUGAGUAACACGUGAGCAAUCUGCCUUUCAGAGGGGGAUACCGAUUGGAAACGAUCGUUAAUACCGCAUAAUAUAAUUGAACCGCAUGAUUUGAUUAUCAAAGAUUUAUCGCUGAAAGAUGAGCUCGCGUCUGAUUAGCUAGUUGGUAAGGUAACGGCUUACCAAGGCGACGAUCAGUAGCCGGACUGAGAGGUUGAUCGGCCACAUUGGGACUGAGACACGGCCCAGACUCCUACGGGAGGCAGCAGUGGGGAAUAUUGCACAAUGGAGGAAACUCUGAUGCAGCGAUGCCGCGUGAGGGAAGAAGGUUUUAGGAUUGUAAACCUCUGUCUUCAGGGACGAAAAAAGACGGUACCUGAGGAGGAAGCUCCGGCUAACUACGUGCCAGCAGCCGCGGUAAUACGUAGGGAGCGAGCGUUGUCCGGAAUUACUGGGUGUAAAGGGAGCGUAGGCGGGAUCGCAAGUCAGAUGUGAAAACUAUGGGCUUAACCCAUAAACUGCAUUUGAAACUGUGGUUCUUGAGUGAAGUAGAGGUAAGCGGAAUUCCUAGUGUAGCGGUGAAAUGCGUAGAUAUUAGGAGGAACAUCAGUGGCGAAGGCGGCUUACUGGGCUUUAACUGACGCUGAGGCUCGAAAGCGUGGGGAGCAAACAGGAUUAGAUACCCUGGUAGUCCACGCCGUAAACGAUGAUUACUAGGUGUGGGGGGACUGACCCCUUCCGUGCCGCAGCAAACGCAAUAAGUAAUCCACCUGGGGAGUACGACCGCAAGGUUGAAACUCAAAGGAAU
rnacentral:rRNA from 1 species